UCAAUUGACAUAAAACCUGUUUAUUGUCAGCAACGUACAGCACAGCUAGUUAACAUUACACAGUUCAGAAACCUUUAAAACCACAAUGACAGCUUGGAUAUUAUUAUGAUGGGCUGCAAAUGCAUCAGAAGAAAUAAAAUGCCUUUUCUGCAAAUGUGCAAAGUUUGAGUAACUUAGAACUCUCAGUAGAUAUAGGACAGACUUCCUCAAACUCCGGACGUCCAGAUGUUGCCGAACUACAACUCCCAUGAUUCUAUGAAUGAAAGAGAUAGGCUGAGAAUCAUGGGAGUUGUAGUUCAGCAACAUCUGGAGGGCCGGAGUUUGGGGAAGCCUGAUCUAGGAUAUAAAAAAGAAUUACUAGAUGUUGGGGUUAAAGCCGAUGUCUCACCCAGAAUCUCCUGGAAUCAACCCUCCAAACUUGAUAUCUUGUUUGAUACCAAAUACUGUUUGAGAAUAUCGUACCCCUUGUGACAUUUUAUCACGCUCCGCUAGAAUUUGAGCAUGGCCCUCUACGCCUUCUGUUCCUGUAUGCAUAACUUGUCAUAAUUACUUGUUCGUUAGUCAUUAGUUGUAUGUAUUGGGGCUGAUGUAUGCUAUAGUUAUUGCUGGCGCCCAGGAGUAGUGGGAGUUUUAGCACAGGGCUGCUUCUUUUUUUAUAUGUAGUCAGUGUAUGAGAAAUCUUUGAGGUUUGCCUUAACGUGGCAAAUGAGCUUACAAUUUAAUGGCCAUUGGAGUGAUACUAAACCUCCAGUUAUUUAAAUAUGCAAAGGGAUCUGGGAUGGUGUGCAAGUAACUUUUUCCUUUGGUUUUUAUUGUCUGUAUGGGGGCUGAUGUGUACGUCAGUCAUUGCUGCAGCCCAGGAGUAGUGGGAGUUUGAAUGCAGAGAUUAAUGUUGUAUGUUAGUAUGUAGCAUACUCACCCAAGGUAAAUUUUGCCUAGUGGACAUUUUAUAUAGAAAAUUAUAGAUAUAUAUAUACAAACACAUUUUACUUAUUCUAUGUUUAUAUUUUUAUUUACAUUUCCUAAAACACCUACUUAGAAUUCUAUUUAGUACGAAAGGUAGGAUAAGCGCUAAGGAAACAAUUCAUAUAAACAGUAAAUUAAGCUGAAAUCACUGAAAGUAAGGGAUAGCCCCAAACUUUACUGAAAAGAAGAAAAACAACAACAAAAAAAACAUAUUUUGUGUUUUGUGUUAGAAUUAUAUCUGUGUGUAUUUCAGAGAUUUGAGUGGCAGUUGGUAAUGAUCUCUAAAUCUCAGACAUACGGCGUCUCGUUAAAUGCGUUAACCACUUGUAUACCAAGCUAAAUGCUGAGAGAAUCACUAGCUACAUGUCUGCAUUGUAGAUUAGAAUGUUUAAUUGCAGCCAAUAGGAGACGUGUAUGGGCUCCCAUUAUGGAUCCCAGCUUGGACAAGGGACACACGGUACCUGAUGUGUAGUGAAUACAUAGCUACAAGAAUACCUGAGGGGGGGGGUCUUUGAUUACUGACCGUGUUCAUUACUUAGAGAAACUCUACCAGCAGAUAAAAUCUAAUUUACUUCUCUGGAACCUGUAGGUGAUUGUACUUCCACCUGAAUAUAGAGCUUGCACCAGGAGUUGGAGUAUACAUAAGACUGGUAGAAACUGCUUCCAGCCUCCAUCCUACUCCCCACAAAUACAAAAAAUACAAUUAUCGCAUAGCAAAAUAAAAAAGAUAUUUAAAAAAAAAAGGAAAAAAUUUAUAUUUGUAAUUGUAUUAAAUUAGUUUCCCAGAAGCAACCUGCAUAUUCUUCUACAUGGCAUACCUUAAAAGUGUUCCUAUUUAGGAGGGGGUGUCCAUAUUUUGGGCACAAAUCCCUCAGUCCCUCUUUGUUAGGAGCUCCAUAUUAUUGGUGUGUCUGAGUGUAUAACAGCGCUCCACGGCAAUAAUACUCCCAGUAAUGUGUCUGAGUGUAUAACAGAGCUCCACAGCAAUAAUACUCCCAGUAAUGUGUCUGAG
rnacentral:lncRNA from 1 species